UGGGGAAUAUUGCACAAUGGGCGAAAGCCUGAUGCAGCAACGCCGCGUGAGUGAUGAAGGUCUUCGGAUUGUAAAGCUCUGUCUUUUGGGACGAUAAUGACGGUACCAAAGGAGGAAGCCACGGCUAACUACGUGCCAGCAGCCGCGGUAAUACGUAGGUGGCGAGCGUUGUCCGGAUUUACUGGGCGUAAAGGGUGCGUAGGCGGAUGUUUAAGUGAGAUGUGAAAUACCCGGGCUUAACUUGGGUGCUGCAUUUCAAACUGGAUAUCUAGAGUGCAGGAGAGGAGAAUGGAAUUCCUAGUGUAGCGGUGAAAUGCGUAGAGAUUAGGAAGAACACCAGUGGCGAAGGCGAUUCUCUGGACUGUAACUGACGCUGAGGCACGAAAGCGUGGGUAGUAAACAGGAUUAGAUACCCUGGUAGUCCACGCC
rnacentral:rRNA from 1 species